rnacentral:rRNA from 1 species
GCUAAGACUGGAUAGGAAAAGUAAGGGCAUCUUUACUUUUUUAAAAGACCUUCUUUGAAGGUAUGCUUAAGGAGGGGCUUGCGACACAUUAGUUAGUUGGCAGGGUAAAGGCCUACCAAGACUAUGAUGUGUAGCUGGACUGAGAGGUUGAACAGCCACAUUGGGACUGAGACACGGCCCAAACUCCUACGGGAGGCAGCAGUAGGGAAUUUUCGGCAAUGGAGGAAACUCUGACCGAGCAACGCCGCGUGAACGAUGAAGUACCUCGGUAUGUAAAGUUCUUUUAUUAAGGAAGAAAAAAGAGUGGAAAAACUCCCUUGACGGUACUUAAUGAAUAAGCCCCGGCUAAUUAUGUGCCAGCAGCCGCGGUAAUACAUAAGGGGCGAGCGUUAUCCGGAAUUAUUGGGCGUAAAGGGUGCGUAGGCGGUUUAAUAAGUCUAUAGUUUAAUUUCAGCGCUUAACGCUGUUGUGCUAUAGAAACUGUUUUACUAGAGUGAGUUAGAGGCAAGCGGAAUUCCAUGUGUAGCGGUAAAAUGCGUAAAUAUAUGGAGGAACACCAGAGGCGUAGGCGGCUUGCUGGGACUUUACUGACGCUGAGGCACGAAAGCGUGGGGAGCAAACAGGAUUAGAUACCCUGGUAGUCCACGCCGUAAACGAUGAGUACUAAGUGUCGGGUAAAACCGGUACUGAAGUUAACACAUUAAGUACUCCGCCUGAGUAGUACGUACGCAAGUAUGAAACUUAAAGGAAUUGACGGGACUCCGCACAAGCGGUGGAUCAUGUUGUUUAAUUCGAAGAUACACGAAAAACCUUACCAGGUCUUGACAUUUUCUUGCGAAGUUAUAGAAAUAUAAUGGAGGUUAUCAGGAAAACAGGUGGUGCAUGGUUGUCGUCAGCUCGUGUCGUGAGAUGUUAGGUUAAGUCCUAAAACGAGCGCAACCCUUGUCGUUAAUUGCCAGCAUGUAAUGAUGGGGACUUUAACGAGACUGCCAAUGAAAAAUUGGAGGAAGGUGGGGAUUACGUCAAAUCAUCAUGCCCCUUAUGAUCUGGGCUACAAACGUGAUACAAUGGUUGAUACAAAGAGUAGCUGAAACGCGAGUUCUUAGCCAAUCUCACAAAAUCAAUCUCAGUUCGGAUUGAAGUCUGCAACUCGACUUCAUGAAGUUGGAAUCGCUAGUAAUCGCGAAUCAGCAUGUCGCGGUGAAUACGUUCUCGGGGUUUGUACA